UAAAACAGACUGUAGAAGUCAAGGAGGAUUCUUAGUAUUCUUAGGAGGCAACUUGAUUUCUUGGAGUUCUAAAAAAUAACCCACUGUUUCUAAAUCCAGCUGUGAAGCUGAAUUUAGGAGCCUGGAAACAGCAACUCAAGAGUUAAUUUGGGUUGUGGCACUAUUAAAAGAACUUAGCAGUCACAUACAAGUACCAACCUUGUGGUGUGAUAAUAUUGGAGCUUUGUAUCUUUCAGCUAAUCCAGUAUAUCACCCAAGAACAAAGCAUAUUGGAAUUGAUUUCAACUUUGUCAGAGAAAGGGUUCAAAAUAAAG
rnacentral:lncRNA from 1 species